UACGUAGGGGGCAAGCGUUGUCCGGAUUUAUUGGGCGUAAAGAGCGUGUAGGCGGCCGUACAGGUCAGCUGUGAAAACUCGAGGCUCAACCUCGAGACGUCGGUUGAAACCGUACGGCUAGAGUCCGGAAGAGGAGAGUGGAAUUCCCGGUGUAGCGGUGAAAUGCGCAGAUAUCGGGAGGAACACCUGUGGCGAAAGCGGCUCACUGGACCACAACUGACGCUGAUGCACGAAAGCUAGGGGAGCAAACAGG
rnacentral:rRNA from 1 species